rnacentral:lncRNA from 1 species
CGGCGUCCUGGCUCACCGACCCCUUCCCUCUGCCCAGGGUCCCCAGACUCCAAGUCCCCAGCCCUAGAAAUCAAGGUGACUCUUGCUGGGCUUGAUCCCAAGCAUAUAUUUAUUAACUGUCUGCUGUGUGCACAGCCCCGGCUGGGCCCCCCAAAGGCAAGCAGCGGCUCCAAGGCCCCGGCCUGUCUGGGAAAACCGUGGCCCAACAUGUUAAGUUACAAUAACAGUGGUCACAAGGCGGCCGGUGGGCCCCCGCGCGCUGAGCUGGGGCCGGAGGGCCAGGAGCCUUCACAGGUCAUUAGCUUGCUUAAUGGUCUUGCAACAGGCAGCUCACUCCAGCUUCCCCCUGAGAAGCCCCGGAGGAGCCAGAGGCCACCGAGUUGGUCCAGCUCCUUCUCCCAGCAGCUGGCACUGUCCACCUCCCCCGCCAGGGGCUGCAGGACGCAGGGUCAAGGAGCAGGAGAUGAACUGAGUCUCCCUUGUCCGGGCACAAAGGCAGCCUCAGGCCCAGGGGCCCAGCUGGGGAGCAGCUGCAGGCUGACGGCCUGGCACCGGGGGCCCGGGGGUGAGAGGACACCUUGCUUCGAGGCCAGAGGCUUUAGGACGAGACAGCUGCUUCCCGUGGCCCUGCUGGAGCCCCGGCAGCAUGGUCGGCGGGUGGCCGGCGGGGGCCGGGCGGGCACGGGUGGGUCCACCUGACCAUGGGGUCUGGCGAGCGGCACAGGAAGUGAGUGUGGCGAACAGGUCCUGCUCCAGCUGCAGCUCGCCCAGCUCGUGGUGGGCCAGGAAGACGUGGGUGCAGAGCCCGAGCACGUGGUCCACGUGGGGCAGCUGGUCAUACCUGAAGCCCAGGCUCUGGGGGCUGACUUUGUCGUUAAAGAUGACCAGCUCCAGGUUUCGGCCACAGCCCCGGCUUUGGUCACAGUCUGGCCGCCACUCCUGGACCACCUACCACUCUGCUGCCGGGCCCUCGGCCCCAGUGGCAUUGCGGAAGAAGGCCAGCCUGUCCACAUCCCGCGGCCUGUGCGAGUGGGCUGUGUGGGAGAGGGGACGUGGGCAGCAGGCCCCAGGAGAGGCAGUGUCAGGCCCUGGGGACAUCUGCAGGCCCGGGAAAGCCCAGGGUCACCCAAGGCGACUAUGUCAGGGGAUGGGUAGGCCUGUGACGGGUGUUUAGGGAUGCUCUCUUGUCACCUGGCUCCCAGGAGAAGGAAGAGGCCCCUGGACAGGCAGCCAGCCCUGGGUGCUGAGCUCUCGGGCUCAACACCCAUGACCGACCUCAGGGUGCCAGGCUGUCCCUCACCCCCAGCUGCAGGGAGACUGAGGCCUUCUCACCGUCCACCCCAGUGGGCCGGCCUCUAGCAGGAGGGAGAACCUGCAGGCCAGCCCAUGCAGCGAGGGUCCCCACUGGUCCCCGAGGCCCUUGGCUGAGCCUGCCUCCCCUGGGACAGGUGUGGGGGGGCAGUUAGGUCAAGAGGACCCCUCCCACCCCACCUCCCAGCCCAGCCCAGGUCGAGGGAACCUGCCCACCCCCUCAGAUGCCCACACGCGUUUCCAGCUGUGUCCCUUCACCUUUCUGUGCCACCAGAAAUGGGGGCAAUAGAUGUGUUUUAAAGAAGCAGCACAAACAGGACAAAAUCAUUUGUUUGGAAAACACAGACAGGCCGGCCAAUCACCUCGGCAAACGCUCCCCACCUCCCUGCUGCGGAUGUUUUUUGACUCCAAGUGCUGCGUCAGUGGGGGGCUGGCGAUGCCCCAGGAAACCUCUAGUGCUCCCCACCCCCGUAGGCAGCAGCCUGGCCCCGCCCCCCAACGCACCCCUUCCCCCACCUCUGUCUGGUGUCCCCGCCUCCCCAGCCAGCCCGCAGGAGCUCCUCCCACGCAUGGGCCAGUGUCUGGGGUCCCCGCAGGGCUCAGCCUCUCCCCUGCUGCGCUAGUGCACCCCCUAAAAGCUCUGGGGCCCCCUCAGGAGCACAUCAGCAGCCCUAGCAGCCCCUCCCCCGUCCCUGUCGGCUUUGAAUUCACUGCGCGAUGCUCUGCCCAGAACCUCUGUUCAGACUGUUCCCUGGGCAUCGACAUUCAGCAGUUUUGUUUACUUGUUUGUUCUUUAACAAAAGGUUGUUUUGGUUAGAGCUUCAGCAAAAACACACGCUGCCUUCUGCCUCCUCUCCACUCAGGAUUCAGUAAAUUAGUUGUUUUCCAGCCGGCUUCAAGUCCUUGCCUCAAAUGAGCCUCCAACAAGAUAAUGCGUUUAAAAGCCCUUGGAAAAGUACCAGGCCCCACGCACUUGCGAGACGUCAUCGGGGGUGGGGGUGGGAGGGCUGCUCUGCCCCACACCCCACCCGGGAGCAGCGGGAAGCUCCGGCGCGAGGGCAGGGUGCUUGCUCAGGGCCCAGGGCUGGGGGGUGGGUGAGGUGGGGGUGGGG